CUUUGUGUUAUGCUUCAGUUGAGGAAUGCCCAAUCUGCAUCUUUAGACACCGUGCGGAGACACUCCUUUAACUGCUUGAGGUAUAAGACGGUCCUGUCGACGCACGUUUGAUAAGCAAGAUUCGGAGUUGGAGGUACAACGGUGGUGGAGAUCGUCAUCGGCAGGAAAUGAUUCAUCUGGAUAUUUGAGAAGAUCAUAGCCAUCAAGAAGAGCUUCAACUAAUUUAAGGACAGAAGCUUGGUGACACUGCUAAGGGUGAUGCAAGUGAAUGGUUUUGAUGGCUUAUGAGGGUUGCUAACCGAUGAAGAGUUGUUGUUGGCCAUGGAAGGCAAAAAGAAAGGAAGGAGCGACGUCCUGUGUUGAAGAUAAAACAAAAACGAAACAUCCAUGAACAAAUAAAAAGAUAAAAGACAUCAGAUGAAAAAGAGACUUUUAGGGGGUCGCCGGUGGCGGCGGCCAUAGGCCACCGACAACAAUAAAGACAUAGUAGAAAAGGAUCAGAAAACCUGCUCUGAGACAUUAUCAAAUUUUUUAUUCCAAAUAAAAAAAGAAAUUGUUUUACAAAACUUGCAAUUAAAAUGGUUUGAUUUUCAAAUUAUAAUCUAAAGUUACUUUGUUAUUAGAUAGUGUUAAAACCAUAUUUUCGAACUAGUGCAGUAUUAAAAUUAGUAUAAUUCAAUUUCAAAUUGAUAGUUAAGUUAAAAUUAGUACAAUUUAC
rnacentral:lncRNA from 1 species